CCUACGGGUGGCAGCAGUGAGGAAUAUUGGUCAAUGGGCGCGAGCCUGAACCAGCCAAGUCGCGUGAGGGAAGACGGUCCUAUGGAUUGUAAACCGCUUUUGCACGGGGAUAACACCCUCCACUUGUGGAGGUCUGCAGGUACCGUGCGAAUAAGGGCCGGCUAAUUCCGUGCCAGCCGCCGCGGUAAUACGGAAGGCCCGAGCGUUAUCCGGAUUCAUUGGGCUUAAAGGGAGCGUAGGCGGGCGUUCAAGUCAGCUGUAAAAUCGCGGGGCUCAACCGCGCCCCGCAGUUGAAACUGGACGCCUUGAGUUCACAACAGGCAGGCGGAAUUCGUGGUGUAGCGGUGAAAUGCAUAGAUAUCACGAGGAACCCCGAUUGCGAAGGCAGCCUGCCGGGGUGCGACUGACGCUGAGGCUCGAAGGUGCGGGUAUCAAACAGGAUUAGAUACCCUUGUAGUC
rnacentral:rRNA from 1 species